UUUCCUCCUUAUUUUCCCCUUUUAGGUGGUGGAAUUGCCUCUCUGUCCGUGUGCUGAGCUCCGGCUGCAGGGGACUGUCAGGCAUUGUCGGCUCUGUCCCCUGGUGUCAUUUCCCUGCCUGAGCUGGCUGUGAGCUGGUUGGGACGGCGAGGCCGGAGAGAGCGAGCAGAGGAGCCUCGGGCUGGAGAGGGGCAGGAGAAAGGCCCUGUGGGCAAAGGGACCUCCCUGUGUGCCCAGGGCCCUGCGGGGGACAGGAUGGACACGCUGGGGUCACUCUGAGGGAAGUGAGGGUCAAUCCAAAGCAAACCCUGCUCAACCUCCAAAUCCCAGGAUAAGUUCUACAGGCUGCUAAGUGAGGGACUAAAAACACACAUAAAUGGAACCAAGAGCACUAAUAAGGUCCCUGGGAAUCCCAUUACAUUGUUGUCAUAGAGUUUUUAACAGAUUUUUCAGUUUUUUAUGACAGCAAUGUGUUUCUUCCUAUGGAUUUUUCC